GACGAACGCUGGCGGCGUGGAUUAGGCAUGCAAGUCGAACGGUAUCAUCCUUUCGGGGGUGAGAGAGUGGCGAACUGGUGAGUAACACGUAGGUUAUCUACCCUCAAGACGGGGACAACCCAGGGAAACUUGGGCUAAUACCGGAUGUGAGCAACUUUUAGUUGUUUGAAAGGUGGCGUAAGCUGUCGCUUGGGGAUGAGCCUGCGUCCUAUUAGUUAGUUGGUGAGGUAACGGCUCACCUAGGCAAUGAUAGGUAGGCGGCCUUAACGGGUGGUCGCCCACACUGGGAUUGAGAUACGGCCCAGACUCCUACGGGAGGCAGCAGUCGAGAAUAGUCUACAAUGGUCGGAAGACUGAUAGUGCGACGCCGCGUGAACGAUGAAUCCCUUCGGGGUGUAAAGUUCUUUUAUAUGUGAGCAGUGCUUCUUAUAUUAAACAGUAUGGGGAAGAGAUAUUAGCAUAUGAAUAAAGCAACGGCUAACUCCGUGCCAGCAGCCGGCGGU
rnacentral:rRNA from 1 species